UGGGGAAUUUUGGACAAUGGGGGAAACCCUGAUCCAGCCAUUCCGCGUGUGCGAUGAAGGCCUUCGGGUUGUAAAGCACUUUUGGCAGGAAAGAACACGCACAAAUUAAUACAUUGUGUGGAUGACGGUACCUGCAGAAUAAGCACCGGCUAACUACGUGCCAGCAGCCGCGGGAAUACGAAGGGGGCAAACGUUAUUCGGAAUCACUGGGCUUAAAGCGCGCGUAGGCGGGUGGUCAAGUCAAAGGAG
rnacentral:rRNA from 1 species